UUGGCGUAGCGGAACUGGGCGUGCGGCGGCAGCUGGAAGCUGUCGUUGGGGUAGAGGGUCACGGGCUGGUCCUCGUCGCCGUACCAGA
rnacentral:tRNA from 1 species